GUAUUUCAAGUUAAGCUGACCAGGUUCCUUUUUUCAUGGGGGCCUGGUGAGUCUGUGGGAGGAGUACAUGUAGCCUGAUGCUUGUAUGGGUUUUCAUAAGGACCCGUGAAGACAGUU
ensembl:snoRNA SNORA70 Small nucleolar RNA SNORA70